rnacentral:tRNA from 1 species
AAAGAAAUAGUUUAUAAAAAAUAUGUGAUUUGGGGUCAUAAGAUGUGUUUCUCACUUUCUUUA